rnacentral:rRNA from 1 species
UGGGGAAUCUUGCGCAAUGGGCGAAAGCCUGACGCAGCGACGCCGCGUGGGGGAUGAAGGCCCUCGGGUUGUAAACCCCUUUCGGCAGGGACGAAGCCGCAAGGUGACGGUACCUGCAGAAGAAGCUCCGGCUAACUACGUG